UGGGGAAUUUUGGACAAUGGGCGAAAGCCUGAUCCAGCAAUGCCGCGUGUGUGAAGAAGGCCUUCGGGUUGUAAAGCACUUUUGUCCGGAAAGAAAUCCUUGGCUCUAAUACAGUCGGGGGAUGACGGUACCGGAAGAAUAAGCACCGGCUAACUACGUGCCAGCAGCCGCGGUAAUACGUAGGGUGCAAGCGUUAAUCGGAAUUACUGGGCGUAAAGCGUGCGCAGGCGGUUUGCUAAGACCGAUGUGAAAUCCCCGGGCUCAACCUGGGAACUGCAUUGGUGACUGGCAGGCUAGAGUAUGGCAGAGGGGGGUAGAAUUCCACGUGUAGCAGUGAAAUGCGUAGAGAUGUGGAGGAAUACCGAUGGCGAAGGCAGCCCCCUGGGCCAAUACUGACGCUCAUGCACGAAAAGCGUGGGGAGCAAACAGGAUUAGAUACCCUGGUAGUCCACGCCCUAAAACGAUGUCAACUAGUUGUUGGGGGUUCAUUUCCUUAGUAACGUAGCUAACGCGUGAAGUUGACCGCCU
rnacentral:rRNA from 1 species